rnacentral:rRNA from 1 species
AACGUAGGAGACGAGCGUUAUCCGGAUUUACUGGGCGUAAAGAGCGUGUAGGAGGCAAUACAAGUUGGAUGUGAAAGCUCCCGGCUUAACUGGGAGAGGUCGUUCAAGACUGUAUAGCUAGAGGAAGGCAGAGGUAGAUGGAACUCCGGGAGUAGUGGUGAAAUGCGUAGAUAUCCGGAAGAACACCAGAGGCGAAAGCGAUCUACUGGGCCUUUACUGACACUGAGACGCGAAAGCCAGGGUAGCAAACGGGAUUAGAGACCCCGGUAGUCCUGGCCGUAAACGAUGUAGACUGGGCGUUUGUGGGGUAAAACCCAUGAGUGCCGAAGCUAACGCGAUAAGUCUACCGCUUGGGGAGUACGGUCGCAAGAUUAAA